UUAGCCUGUCUGCAUGCCAGGGGAGCAAUCUCCAUCUGUUGAACACUUGUCAGAUGAACUACUGACCUACACUACCCUGCAACACCUGCAGGCUGCUCAACCGUGGCCACUGAGCGACGUGGAGCAAGAAGGGCCUGUGACAGCUUGGAAGAAACUGGGUCACUUUUUUAUAGACUUUAAAAUAAAAUAUGAAUCAAAAUUCCUUCUGAUAGCAGUGAAGCUGGAAGCAAUUUCAAGCCUUUCUUAAGCAGAAAGGCUGCUCUUGACUGUUAAUUCCCACAAAUGAACACAUACGUUAGCCUGUCAUCUGCUGAACACUUUAACCAUAUUACAGAAGGCACCUGGACUAGAAAGAUCGAAGCUCUGCUUGGUUUCCUCAGGUUGGAUAUUCUGGUAUUUCUGGUGCAUCUUGAAUAUGUAGAAGCAGCAAAACUUGUCUCGGGGAACAGAGGCAUCAGCACAGAGAGGGGACAGAUGGUGUACCUUACUGAGACCAAACUACGGUUCAAUGUUCCCACAAGAACAAGGGAAGACAUGGGUUAAAUUGUCACAAAUAAGCCCUAAACUGUUGUGAAACCGCAUCUGAUUUCCCAGAUUAAUCUGAAAGGAGAAAGAAGUGUUCUGGCAGUGCUAUUUGAUGUUUCAAGCCUCAGUGGGUACAUCCAGCCCUACUCAAGCAUGGAGUGUUUACUGAACUGGAGACUAUCGUAGAAAUACUUGUUCCUCACGUACAGAUCAGGAAGCUGGAGUCAGGUAUUACUCAUGUUGGAAAAAUGCCUCUGGAAGUCCAUGAAUUGCUUGGCUCAUCUGACAGAGCAGACAGAAGUAUCUCAGCCUUCGUUUACUACGGAGUUGACCUAGGCACAGUCUGCCCGUGUGGAUCAUGUCUGUGGAGAAAUUGCUCGCCGCUUUAGGUCAAAUAGUGGCAGAGGAGAAGGGGCAUUUACCUGAAUAUCUGAAAAAUGCAAGCAGAAGGAAAAGUGACUGAUUUGAAAACAACCAGUAUGUGUUGGGAUAAGCUUGUUUUUGGAUUCCAAACUAUUUGUUGUAGAAACAAGGCGUAGAUUUUUAACAAGGGUUUAUCUUAGUUUGCAAUUCGUCUAGUUUUGUUUUUCAUCUUGCAGGUUUCUUUACAGAACAGCAGUAAAUCCUUAGAGCAAAACUGAUGUGAAAGGCGUUUUUGGGUCAUGAAAGAAGCACAGAUUUUCCUUACACAGAAGAGUCUUUUGCCAGUUGCUUACGACCUGAAGAUAUUAGAGAAAACUGUACAAAGAUGAUUAACGGUGAAAGUAAAGAUCAGAACUGUUUCACUCUUUCCGUGUUUCUUAAGGAGGUGUUAAUUCUUUCUUCAAGAACAUACGGCAUAGAUUCAUGGGAUUGGCAGUGCUCAAAUCUAAUCUCACUCAACACGAACACUUUAAAAUAUGGUAGCAGGGGGA